rnacentral:rRNA from 1 species
AGUGAACGCUGGCGGUAGGCCUAACACAUGCAAGUCGAACGGCAGCACAGUAAGAGCUUGCUCUUACGGGUGGCGAGUGGCGGACGAGUGAGGAAUACAUCGGAAUCUACUUUUUCGUGGGGGAUAACGUAGGGAAACUUACGCUAAUACCGCAUACGACCUACGGGUGAAAGCAGGGGAUCUUCGGACCUUGCGCGAUUGAAUGAGCCGAUGUCGGAUUAGCUAGUUGGCGGGGUAAAGGCCCACCAAGGCGACGAUCCGUAGCUGGUCUGAGGGGAUGAUCAGCCACACUGGAACUGAGACACGGUCCAGACUCCUACGGGAGGCAGCAGUGGGGAAUAUUGGACAAUGGGCGCAAGCCUGAUCCAGCCAUACCGCGUGGGUGAAGAAGGCCUUCGGGUUGUAAAGCCCUUUUGUUGGGAAAGAAAAGCAGCAGGUUAAUACCCCGCUGUUCUGACGGUACCCAAAGAAUAAGCACCGGCUAACUUCGUG